rnacentral:rRNA from 1 species
GAUUGGGGGCGCCCCAGGUAGACGUUCCAGUCCCGCUCCGCUCUCGGAGUCCGGCGACUCUCGCUCCUGGCGCCCGUGACGACAGAAACAAAGACCGCGGGAGCGCUAUUCCCUCCAACUUCCUACGCAUGCGACGCAUGCCGUGUGGGGGGAUGCCCGUGAUUUUUACUGUGACUAAAAAGCGUGACCAAAGCAGUCAUUCGACAUGGAUUUCAAAGCAUGGGAUAACAACGAAGCACCUAUGGAUCACCUCCAAGGCUUUUGUUGGUUUUAACAGUCUGUGGGAGACUAUGGGCCCGCCGACAAGCGGCUUGGGGCGCGGCUUGCCGCGUUCCCAGCGCCUCCAGCGCGUCUCCGCCCGCCGCGUGCUUCUGGCACUGGCGCGCGCGGUCCGCUGGCUUGCGGUGCCCAGGAUGAAGGAGGGUUGUUCGGGGGAGAACGUACUUGAGCGUGAGAGGUGAAAUUCUUAGACCGCUCAAGACGAACUACAGCGAAGGCAUUCUCCAAGGAUACCCUCCUCAAUCAAGAACCAAGUGUGGAGAUCGAAGAUGAUUAGAGACCAUUGUAGUCC